AUUGAACGCUGGCGGCAGGCCUAACACAUGCAAGUCGAACGAGUGGCAGACGGGUGAGUAAUGUGUGGGAAACGGCCUGAUGGAGGGGGAUAACUACUGGAAACGGUAGCUAAUACCGCAUACCAUCGGUUGAUCCCAGAGGGGAUUAGCUAGUAGGGGGGGUAACGGCUCACCUAGGCGACGAUGCCUAGCUGGUCUGAGAGGAUGACCAGCCACACUGGAACUGAGACACGGUCCAGACUCCUACGGGAGUCAGCAGUGGGGAAUAUUGCACAAGGGACGCAAGCCUGAUGCAGCAAUGCCGCGUGUAUGAAGAAGGCCUUCGGGUUGUAAAGUACUUUCAGCGGGGAGGCGUUACCCGCAGAAGAAGCACCGGCUAACUCCGUGCCAGCAGCCGCGGUAAUUC
rnacentral:rRNA from 1 species